UGGGGAAUUUUGGACAAUGGGGGCAACCCUGAUCCAGCCAUGCCGCGUGAGUGAAGAAGGCCUUCGGGUUGUAAAGCUCUUUCGGCCGGGAAGAAAUCGCGCCAGCUAAUACCUGGUGUGGAUGACGGUACCGGAAGAAGAAGCACCGGCUAACUACGUGCCAGCAGCCGCGGUAAUACGUAGGGUGCGAGCGUUAAUCGGAAUUACUGGGCGUAAAGCGUGCGCAGGCGGUUUUGUAAGACAGGUGUGAAAUCCCCGGGCUUAACCUGGGAACUGCGCUUGUGACUGCAAGACUUGAGUGCGGCAGAGGGGGUGGAAUUCCACGUGUAGCAGUGAAAUGCGUAGAGAUGUGGAGGAACACCGAUGGCGAAGGCAGCCCCCUGGGUCGACACUGACGCUCAU
rnacentral:rRNA from 1 species